UACGGGGGGGAGCAAGCGUUGUUCGGAUUUACUGGGCGUAAAGGGCGCGUAGGCGGCGUGACAAGUCACUUGUGAAAUCUCCGGGCUUAACUCGGAACGGUCAAGUGAUACUGUCGUGCUAGAGUACAGAAGGGGCAACUGGAAUUCUCGGUGUAGCGGUGAAAUGCGUAGAUAUCGAGAGGAACACCUGCGGCGAAGGCGGGUUGCUGGGCUGAUACUGACGCUGAUGCGCGAAAGCUAGGGGAGCGAACGGG
rnacentral:rRNA from 1 species